rnacentral:tRNA from 1 species
GAGGGGAUAGCUCAGUGGUAGAGCACAUGCUUAGCAUGCACGAGGUCCUGGGUUCAAUCCCCAGUACUUCCA